rnacentral:rRNA from 1 species
CGAAAUUUCCGAAAGGGGAGAUUCACGUCUUCUCGCGUGUCAGACGUCCCGCUCCUCGUGGACGGCUCUAUGCCUCAUUCGGAUUUAUUCGAAGCGAGUGGUGGAGUCGCCGAGGGUGGGUUUGGAUGAUCGCGGCGGACCGCACUUCUCCCCUAGUAGGACGUCGUGACCCGUCCGGCCAUGGUCUAAGGGUUAGGGUGGGAGCCUGUGUGAGCUGUUCGCAGUCUCGCGCAGCCCCCCUUUCCCCGACCAUGGAUUGCCCCGGUCGGUAUCGAAUGACGGUGUCGAACCGCUCCGCGAGGGGAGAAAUCCUCUUUCGAGAGCGCGAGGUGGUCCUCGACAAGGUUGCGAGUCGCGUGUCAAGGCGGGCUUCCGCCCGUCUGGCUGCUCCCGCUCCUGUUGGUCGGGUGUGCCCUUACGCAGGUUCAUACAAAUGGCACUAGUCUACGGCGAAUCAGUUUUGGGCUCUUGUCCUAACCCGUCUUGAAACACGGACCAAGGAGUUUAGCGUGUGCGCGAGUCAUUGGGUGUCAAAACCUAAAGGCGUAAUGAAAGUGAAGGAAACUUUGUUUUUGAGGGAGGAUGGGUUAGGUACCUUUUUUAAAGGACCGGCCUCGCACUCCCGGGGCGUCUCUAUCUCAUUGCGAGAGGAGGCGCACCUAGAGCGUACACGCUGAUACCCGAA